AAGAAUCGGCGUUGUAAAUAGCCUGUAAGGACCUGCUGAAGAAAAACACCCCAGUUCCUAGUGGUCAGGGAGGAAGGUUAAACUCUCACCUACAGGUGGCGCUGGCGCAACAAAGGCCUUCAGUUCAACUUCAUUGUCGGGGACACAGCAAAAAGAUGACUACCUAUAAAUCAAGAAACCCUCGCCAAGAACCCAACCCUGCUGGCAUCCUGAUCUCAGACCUCCAAACUUCAGUUCUGUGAGAUAUAAAUGUCUAUUGUUUAAGCCA